rnacentral:rRNA from 1 species
UACGUAGGGACCAAGCGUUGUUCGGAUUUACUGGGCGUAAAGAGCGUGUAGGCGGCCAGGUAGGUCGGUUGUGAAAACUGGAGGCUCAACCUUCAGAGGUCGACCGAAACCAUCUGGCUAGAGUCCGGGAGAGGAGAGUGGAAUUCCUGGUGUAGCGGUGAAAUGCGCAGAUAUCAGGAAGAACACCCGUGGCGAAAGCGGCUCUCUGGAACGGUACUGACGCUGAGACGCGAAAGCGUGGGGAGCGAACAGG